GGGGAGGGGAGGGGAGGGGAGGGGAGCCUUGGCGCUCCAGGCACGAUGAGGAUGAAGGGGUUGAGUGUUCAGGGGUGAGGAUCAGGAGAAGGCCAACAAGGCACAGAUCCUGGCAGGAACCUGUUCCAUCCUGGUGGGAGCCUCUUCCAGAGCACCCAGCCACGAGGAAGAGGCAGAUGAAAUAUUCCAUCAGCAGCUGAGAGGAGUCUCACCAUCCCCAGCCCUUUUCCCCACUCCACCUCGCCAGAUGUCUGCUGGAAAUACAGUUGAGAAGGAAAAGUUUUAAAAAGCCUUCAACAAAUUAGAGGGCAGAAAAGAGCUGCAGAAAUUAUUUGGCUAUUAGAAAAAGUUCUUUACUCGGGGAGGUUUGAAGAGUUUAAUCUGUUUAGUUCAUCAGAAAGGCGAUUAGGAGAAGCCUUGAUUACAGUGAAGUGUUUUCCCAGGGAGGAAACAACAGGUACCAAAGGGCUCUAAUCUGGGCCAGGCACGCAGCACGAGCAGCUGGGCCAGGAGCUGGGGCCAGGCAAACUCCAGGAGAGCCGGCACAGCCAGAGGAGCUGCAGAGGAAACGCAGAGGAAAACAGCAAAUUCACCUGUGUGCUUGGGCAGAGCCCCCAGGGUGGGGGAUGACUUUGGGCAGGAGCCUCCACAAGGAUCUGGUGGAACUCUUGGAACAUUCCUAACUACACAAAGCAGCCGUGCUGGCUCUCUCUGCUAUUAUAACAAUUAUAUAUUAAUUAUAAUUAUAUUAAUAAUUAUAUUGCUCAAUAACUGCCUGGAGUUUGCUUCCAUCUGGAACAUUCUUUGUGAGAGGAACAGCUUCUGGAAAGAUCAGUCCAAGGUGAUGACAUCAACAGCACGAGGCCAUUUCAGUCCAACCUGCACAUUUUUUUCCACUUCUGUUAAAAAAAAAACCCACAACAAAAUGCAAUUAGCUGUGGGUGGGAAAACAUGGUUGUUUUCACCAAGAAAUAACAUUAUAUUCCAAUUUUCUGCUAUCGGUGUUUAGCAAAAUUAAGCUCUGAGGUAUAAAACUCCAUAAAGCUUAAUCGGUGUUUUGGAGGCUAAGACAAAUGUAAAGGUAUUUAUCAAUGAAAAUGCACGAUCAAUUUGUUUGGCUUUUAAUGAUCCCAGCUAAUAAAGAGUCAGGGCUGCUGCA
rnacentral:lncRNA from 1 species